UACGUAGGGUGCAAGCGUUAAUCGGAAUUACUGGGCGUAAAGCGUGCGCAGGCGGUGAUGUAAGACCGAUGUGAAAUCCCCGGGCUUAACCUGGGAACUGCAUUGGUGACUGCAUUGCUAGAGUAUGGCAGAGGGGGGUGGAAUUCCACGUGUAGCAGUGAAAUGCGUAGAGAUGUGGAGGAACACCGAUGGCGAAGGCAGCUCGCUGGGACGUUACUGACGCUGAGACGCGAAAGCGUGGGGAGCAAACAGG
rnacentral:rRNA from 1 species